GAUGAACGCUGGCGGCGUGCCUAAUACAUGCAAGUCGAGCGAACAGACGAGGAGCUUGCUCCUCUGACGUUAGCGGCGGACGGGUGAGUAACACGUGGAUAACCUACCUAUAAGACUGGGAUAACUUCGGGAAACCGGAGUUAAUCCCGGAUAAUAUAUUAACCCGCAUGGUUCAAUAGUGAAAGAGGUUUUUGCUUUCAUUAUUAGAUGGAUCCGCGCCGCAUUAGCUAGUUGGUAAGGUAACGGCUUACCAAGGCAACGAUGCGUAGCCGACCUGAGAGGGUGAUCGGCCACACUGGAACUGAGACACGGUCCAGACUCCUACGGGAGGCAGCAGUAGGGAAUCUUCCGCAAUGGGCGAAAGCCUGACGGAGCAACGCCGCGUGAGUGAUGAAGGUCUUCGGAUCGUAAAACUCUGUUAUUAGGGAAGAACAAAUGUGUAAGUAACUAUGCACGUCUUGACGGUACCUAAUCAGAAAGCCACGGCUAACUACGUG
rnacentral:rRNA from 1 species